CUCUUCCCCCUAGUCUCUAUGGUAGCGCCUGUGUCGCUAUCGGCGGUGACGGAAGCCGCUGAGGACAAGUGUGGGUUCCAAGUUACCUACUGUGCUGGUCUGUGAGGUACUGGCCUUGGAGGGUAGCAAUGUCAGAGAAGAAGCAGCCGGUAGAUUUGGGUCUCCUAGAGGAGGACGACGAAUUCGAGGAGUUCCCUGCCGAAGACUGGGCUGGUUUGGAUGAAGAUGAAGAUGCCCAUGUCUGGGAAGAUAACUGGGAUGAUGACAAUGUAGAGGAUGACUUCUCUAAUCAGUUACGAGCUGAACUAGAGAAACAUGGUUAUAAGAUGGAGACUUCGUAGCAGCCAGAAGAUAGCAGCCAGAAGAAGUGUUGAAGUACCCUCAGUUUGAACUGUGUACUAAAUUCUAGGACAAAGAACCAGGAUGGAAUGCUUUUAAAAAUAUGUUUAUUUCAUUAUUUGCUUGAAUUUUUUUGUAACAAAAAAAUAAAUGUUUUGAUGAAAUCUUG